rnacentral:rRNA from 1 species
GACGAACGCUGGCGGCGUGCCUAACACAUGCAAGUCGAACGGAGUUAAAUUCGACACCCGAGUAUCCGGCUGGGAGGCGGGGUGCUGGGGGUUGGAUUUAACUUAGUGGCGGACGGGUGAGUAACGCGUGAGUAACCUGCCUUUCAGAGGGGGAUAACGUUCUGAAAAGAACGCUAAUACCGCAUAACAUCAAUUUAUCGCAUGAUAGGUUGAUCAAAGGAGCAAUCCGCUGGAAGAUGGACUCGCGUCCGAUUAGCCAGUUGGCGGGGUAACGGCCCACCAAAGCGACGAUCGGUAGCCGGACUGAGAGGUUGAACGGCCACAUUGGGACUGAGACACGGCCCAGACUCCUACGGGAGGCAGCAGUGGGGGAUAUUGCACAAUGGGGGAAACCCUGAUGCAGCAACGCCGCGUGAGGGAAGAAGGUUUUCGGAUUGUAAACCUCUGUUCUUAGUGAC